GCCGCCAUGGUGAAAUUGGUAGACACGCUGCUCUUAGGAAGCAGUGCUCAAGCAUCUCGGUUCGAAUCCGAGUGGCGG
rnacentral:tRNA from 1 species